UGUUUGUACUUUUUUCAGCAGAUGCAGAAACACCUGAUCCGGAUAAACAUUCACAAAACAGUUAUUUUAUCGAGAAAGAUGAAAUUAAGUUGAUGAAAACGAUGAGAGGAAAGUCUGUCACGUUACACAGCGAUCUCACUGAAAUACAGGAUGAUGAGCUGAUCUGGUGGAAAUUUGCUGAUUCCAGUGGAAACAAAGAGGCUGUAUUUUCAGUCAUAGCUAAAUGGGAUAAAACAAAUAACGAGGAAAACCUAUGCAAUGAAGAAAGAUUCAGAGACAGAUUGCAUCUGGACCACAAUACUGGAUCUCUGACCAUCACAAACAUCACAAAUGAACUCUGUGGACAUUAUAAACUACACAUCACCAGUGACAGACUGAAGAACUCCACGACAUUCAGUGUUGCUUUUUAUGAUCAGAAGAAAAGACCAGAGAUCCAGAGGAUUGGCCUUGAUAGCAGAAGAGUACACAGUGUUUAAACUCGGGGAUAUUUCAAUUCAGUUUCCAAAACAAUGGAAC